UACGUAGGGUGCAAGCGUUAAUCGGAAUUACUGGGCGUAAAGCGUGCGCAGGCGGUUUUGUAAGCCAGAUGUGAAAUCCCCGGGCUUAACCUGGGAAUGGCAUUUGGGACUGCAAGGCUGGAGUUUGGCAGAGGAGACUGGAAUUCCCGGUGUAGCAGUGAAAUGCGUAGAUAUCGGGAGGAAUACCGAUGGCGAAGGCAGGUCUCUGGGCUAUAACUGACGCUCAUGCACGAAAGCGUGGGGAGCAAACAGG
rnacentral:rRNA from 1 species